rnacentral:rRNA from 1 species
AUACGGAGGGGGUUAGCGUUGUUCGGAAUUACUGGGCGUAAAGCGCGCGCAGGCGGGCUGAUAAGUUGGAUGUGAAAGCCUACGGCUCAACCGUAGAACUGCAUCCAAAACUGUCAGUCUAGAGUGUGGGAGAGGAAGAUGGAAUUAGUUGUGUAGGGGUAAAAUCCGUAGAGAUAACUAGGAAUACCAAAAGCGAAGGCAAUCUUCUGGAACACUACUGACGCUGAGGCGCGAAGGCGUGGGGAGCAAACAGGAGUAGAAACCCCAGUAGUCC